CCUACGGGAGGCAGCAGUGAGGAAUAUUGGUCAAUGGCCGGAAGGCUGAACCAGCCAUGCCGCGUGAAGGUCAGUGCCCUAUGGGCGUUAAACUUCUUUUGUGCGGGAGCAAUAAUGGUCACGUGUGGCCAGACGAGAGUACCGUACGAAUAAGCAUCGGCUCACUCCGUGCCAGCAGCCGCGGUAAUACGGGGGAUGCAAGCGUUAUCCGGAUUUAUUGGGUUUAAAGGGUGCGUAGGCUGUGAGGUAAGUCAGCGGUGAAAUGCCCCCGCUCAACGGGGUGAAGUGCCAUUGAUACUGCCUGGCUGGAAUGCGGAUGCCGUGGGAGGAAUGUGUGGUGUAGCGGUGAAAUGCAUAGAUAUCACACAGAACACCGAUUGCGAAGGCAUCUCACGAAUCCGCGAUUGACGCUGAUGCACGAAAGCGUGGGUAUCAAACAGGAUUAGAUACCCCAGUAGUC
rnacentral:rRNA from 1 species